AUUCAGCUUACACGGGCAGUGACGGCGGUUGUGGAAGGACGCCCCCCUUACAUCUUUAUUCUUCCCUUUUCAGACUUGGUCGGUGAAUGAAGAUGCAGUGCCGGUCCUGUAACGACUCCCUUCCUGCAGAUGGACAAGCGCUCCGAAUGUGAGUACGGCUACCAUCUCGGCGAUUUUUCUGGCUGAAGUGGAGUCACAUACAAUAAUAAAGGCGAGAGUGGGCGUAGGA
rnacentral:lncRNA from 1 species